GGCAGGCUGGUCUCACUGCUUUUCUGCCGUCCUGCAGCCAAGCCUCGUUGGAGCCCACGGUCCGCAGGGGGCUUGGUGCGGUGGACCCAGUGACAGCCGUGGCCCUGGUGAGCUGGGGGGGCAGCUCUCCCCCAAAUGGUCACCUCUCUUUCCCAAUGGUGGAUUUGUUUCCAUCCCUUGACCUGGAGCUUCUCUGCCCAUCCAGGUCCCUGAACUCCGCUGGUGCGGCCCGGCCUCCUGUGGCUGAGGAGGGACUGCUGAGGAAGGAAGCCCCUCCUGUCCGAUCCUCCCUCACUCCUUUGGACCCCACGUUGCAGCCAACGGUGUUCUUAGCAUCUUGGCAAAGGCAAAGGAUCAGGCUGGGACCGGGUGGCUCAGUCUGCACAUUCCAGCUCCUCUACCCCCAGACCGCCUGGAAACAGGAGCUGAGCCUCCGCCCCACGACGAAAGAAAAUGCGCGUGAGAGCGGUGUUCAGAGCCGCCCAGCUCUCUAGAGGCCGAGCCAGCUCUAGCGCCCAGGGCUCCCGUCCGCCAGGCGGCGGCUUCCUCCCGCGCGCCCGCCUCGGGUCAUCGCUAAAACCCGCCCCUUCCCACCUUCCACCCCUUCAGACCCUCCCACGGAUUUCCUCUCCUCCAGGGGAAGGACUCUGAUAGGCGGUCAUGGAGAGAACACCCAGUAAGAUGAUAUAUUUUUAUGAAAU
rnacentral:lncRNA from 1 species